rnacentral:rRNA from 1 species
GUGGGGAAUAUUGGACAAUGGGCGAAAGCCUGAUCCAGCCAUGCCGCGUGUGUGAAGAAGGUCUUCGGAUUGUAAAGCACUUUAAGUUGGGAGGAAGGGCAGUAAGUUAAUACCUUGCUGUUUUGACGUUACCGACAGAAUAAGCACCGGCUAACUUCGUGCCAGCAGCCGCGGUAAUACGAAGGGUGCAAGCGUUAAUCGGAAUUACUGGGCGUAAAGCGCGCGUAGGUGGUUUUGUAAGUUGGAGGUGAAAUCCCCGGGCUCAACCUGGGAACUGCCUCCAAAACUGCAUGACUAGAGUACGGUAGAGGGUAGUGGAAGUUCCUGUGUAGCGGUGAAAUGCGUAGAUAUAGGAAGGAACACCAGUGGCGAAGGCGACUACCUGGACUGAUACUGACACUGAGGUGCGAAAGCGUGGGGAGCAAACAGGAUUAGAUACCCCGGUAGUCC